CUCCCUUUUUCUUCUACCAAGACAUUAUAACUUUGGGACUUUGUCUUGGUUUCGGACGAGAGAAAUUGUCAAAGUGGCGUGGUGAGUUGGAAAGAGUGGAAAUUUCAUUUGCUGUAUCCAGGUGUGGUUAACGGUGACCAGAUAGCCGAUACUUGAUUCAUUCCAGCUUUGUUCAGUCCAGUUCAGUAGAGGUGAGCCACCAUUAGAUCAUGGCGGCCUCUUCUUCUUUAGUUGACUUAGUAGUAUUCCGAGCUACGUCUCGUACUUUUAUAUUCAGACUAGCAGUUCCAUGACUUAGACAUUUUAUGGGGUUUAUGGGCAAGACUCAGUAUUUGUAUUUCGUUUCUGCACUUCUCUUUAUACUAUGAGACUUUGCGUAUUA